UAUGACUCUCUUAAGGUAGCC
rnacentral:snRNA from 1 species